rnacentral:lncRNA from 11 species
CCGUCCUCUACGUAAAUCCACUCUCCUGCCAGAGUAGUAAUUUAACUUACCGCUGUGACCUCAAUUGAAAGCUGAGACUACAUCUCGAACGUGGAAUCGGCGCGCACAAGGUGAAAGCGAAUUGGAGCUCCAGUGCAUCCCGUUGGUUGGCUAAAUUCGAUAACAGCUUACUGCUGACGUCGACUUGUAGCUCUGCAGUUUCAGAGGGAUCGAAACCUUUACCUGGAAUUCGCGAAAACAUCAGGAGAAGCCAAGGAACGCGAACAACUUACGUUACGUCACUGUCAAAAAGAGCACCCUAUCUGCCAAGGGACGCAAAGCUUCCCAUCCCCUACAAACGCUAACGACAUUGAGAAAAAGACUGAUCAUAAACGUUAUAAUUUUGCCGAUAAAAAAUCGUGUAAUACGUUAAACUAAAGGUGCAGUGCU